GGGAGAGAGACAGGGGAAUCAGUGGUGGAGCUGACCUGCAGAAAGAGCUACAGAUCAUAGGAAUGCCAGGCUGCCACGGCUUGACGUGACUCGGCACACAGCCACCGCGGGGAAACACCUAAAGUGUGGGUUUGCACUUUCACUGGAGCACGGAGUGAAAAGGGGAGAAGGAAGGAGAGGAAAUGACAGAGGGAGACAAUGAAAAUGGCAGACACGGCAGAGAUAAGGAGACAGCAAAGGACAAAGAAGAAUAUGACAAGAAUAUGCAGAGGAAAGCGCUACGUCCUUUGUGAUCAACCAAGCAGAAAUAUUUAAUUACAAAACCUAUUAUGAGGUGGUGAAUGCACCACAUCUGACUGAACCAACCCCCCCAAGCAGAACAUUUUCAGGAGGUGAAGUGAAGGAGAGAAAGACUGUGAGGAGCAGAAGGUGCUCACCUUACUGUAGAACAUCUCGUCUCCCGCAACGAUGUCCAGCUCCACACGGAAAAGGUCAUCCCUGGAAAGAGAGAGGAGCGUUAAGGCCAGACACGGCGCGCUGUUCUUUCAGUGUCUAUAGGGAGAAGAACUGCUCUGCUCACAGCAAUUUGAUGCAGCUUUUCUUUUGGAUGAACUCCAGGCACACACUUAAUACAAACUGAAUAAAGAUG